rnacentral:rRNA from 1 species
AUGCCCGACCCUAUCAGACCGGGCUUCCAGGCGCGUCACCACGUUGGUGAAGAAGUUCAGGUGACUGGCGUAGUCAUUCGAGUGGGGUAUGGUGCAUUCUCAUCACAGAGGUAG